UCUUAACCGCUUAAAUCCACUAACAACAUGCAAAUUCUAACUAACUAACUAAUUAAAGAAAAUAGACUAGAAAGCAGAGCAAAGAGAGAACCUGAGGUGAUGACUAGAGUUCUUGAAGCAGAGAAACGGGAAAAGAACCAAAGGAAGAGGCGAAACACCAAGAACCAAAGGACAAGGUGGCAGCGAUGGCGAUGGUGAAGAGGCAAAGGAUGUUGGAAUGCGAAAAGGAAAACAUGGAGAAGAAGCCCUUCAUGGACAUACAAACUGAGACCAAGAGAUUCAGGCAAACAACACUUGAUUUGAUUUUCAUUUAUAGCAUUCAGCAACAAUCGUUACAAAUCAGUAACAACAGCAGCAAGAAAAUUUCAACAAAAGCUUCAGGAAUUAAAAAAAGAGCAACAGCACAAAAUCAAUUAUUUGAUUUUCCAUUAACCCAGUCACAGUUUCACAUUCAAAAAUCAACAAGGGCACAUUCAAAAAUCAACAACAGGGCAUAAAAGGAAGAGAAGAACCGAAGUGAAGGCAGUGCCGCUAACCUUCGACGACGACAUGGACGGCGCCCGGCGAGACGACAGCGAGUGGCAACACAGCGGCGAGCUGCUCCAAGUUCGAGAGAAUCCAGUGAGGACGGGGACAGG